rnacentral:rRNA from 1 species
GACGAACGCUGGCGGCGUGCUUAACACAUGCAAGUCGAACGGUGAAGCGCCUUCCUUUUUGGUGGGUGUGGAUGAGUGGCGAACGGGUGAGUAACACGUGAGUAACCUGCCCCCUUCUUCUGGAUAACCGCAUGAAAGUGUGGCUAAUACGGGAUAUUCUGGGUCUGUCGCAUGAUGGGUCUGGGAAAGAUCUUGUUUCGGUGGGGGAUGGGCUCGCGGCCUAUCAGCUUGUUGGGGGGGUGAUGGCCUACCAAGGCGGUGACGGGUAGCCGGCCUGAGAGGGUGGACGGUCACACUGGGACUGAGACACGGCCCAGACUCCUACGGGAGGCAGCAGUGGGGAAUAUUGCACAAUGGGCGCAAGCCUGAUGCAGCGACGCCGCGUGAGGGAUGGAGGCCUUCGGGUUGUGAACCUCUUUCGCCAGUGAAGCAGGCCUGCCUCGUUUGUGGGUGGGUUGACGGUAGCUGGAUAAGAAGCGCCGGCUAACUACGUG